CUGUAAUUGAAUAAUUCAUCAUUGCUUUCUGAAGGUAUCCCUGUACGCAUAACAUCGAAUUUAUGAAGUACUUCACCUGUUAAUUCCAUCAUUUUGUUUUCUUUGGUGAGUCUGCUUGCCUUGCUGAUAUUUUGUUGAUAAGCUGUAGUAUUUUCAAAAUUAAGGUUAAAGAGUUCAAAUGCCUGUUCUCGAAUAAGCUCCCUUACAAUAAGUUAAAAAAAUUCGCUGUGGGAAUUGAAGUGACCCUUGACUUUGCCAUUAACAUCAGUCUUCUUCAGUCUGUUUCUUCAAAAUGCCAAGGUACCUUAUUUGUCCAUUGAAUCCAUCUUGUAAAGUGCUUUAAAAGUUUUCUGUCAAA
rnacentral:lncRNA from 1 species